GACGAACGCUCGCGGCGUGCUUAACACAUGCAAGUCGAGCGAUGAAGUUCCUUCGGGAGCGGAUUAGCGGCGGACGGGUGAGUAACACGUGGGUAACCUGCCUCAUAGAGGGGAAUAGCCUUCCGAAAGGAAGAUUAAUACCGCAUAAGAUUGUAGUACCGCAUGGUAUAGCAAUUAAAGGAGCAAUCCGCUAUGAGAUGGACCCGCGUCGCAUUAGCUAGUUGGUGAGGUAACGGCUCACCAAGGCGACGAUGCGUAGCCGACCUGAGAGGGUGAUCGGCCACAUUGGGACUGAGACACGGCCCAGACUCCUACGGGAGGCAGCAGUGGGGAAUAUUGCACAAUGGGGGAAACCCUGAUGCAGCAACGCCGCGUGAGUGAUGACGGUCUUCGGAUUGUAAAACUCUGUCUUCAGGGACGAUAAUGACGGUACCUGAGGAGGAAGCCACGGCUAACUACGUGCCAGCAGCCGCGGUAAUAC
rnacentral:rRNA from 1 species